GACGAACGCUGGCGGCGUGCAUAACACAUGCAAGUCGAACGAUGAAGAAGAGAAUGGAGACUUCGGUCAAAGUUCGCUUCGGAUUAGUGGCAGACGGGUGAGUAAUGCGUGAGCAACCUACCUCUUACAAAGGGAUAGCCAUGGGAAACCGUGAUUAAUACCAUAUGAUACAAUAACAAGGCAUCUUGAGACUGUUAAAGCUCCGGCGGUAAGAGAUGGGCUCGCGUCCCAUUAGCUAGUUGGUGAGGGUAACGGCCCACCAAGGCGACGAUGGGUAACCGGCCUGAGAGGGUGAACGGUCACAUUGGAACUGAGACACGGUCCAA
rnacentral:rRNA from 1 species